AGGACGAACGCUGGCGGCGUGCUUAACACAUGCAAGUCGAGCGGUAAGGCUCUUUCGGGAGUACACGAGCGGCGAACGGGUGAGUAACACGUGAGCAAUCUGCCCUUCACUUUGGGAUAACCUCCGGAAACGGUGGCUAAUACCGAAUAUGACCACUUCACGCAUGUGAUGGUGGUGGAAAGUUCUGGCGGUGGAGGAUGAGCUCGCGGCCUAUCAGCUUGUUGGUGAGGUAAUGGCUCACCAAGGCUUCGACGGGUAGCCGGCCUGAGAGGGUGACCGGCCACACUGGGACUGAGACACGGCCCAGACUCCUACGGGAGGCAGCAGUGGGGAAUAUUGGACAAUGGGCGAAAGCCUGAUCCAGCAACGCCGCGUGAGGGAUGACGGCCUUCGGGUUGUAAACCUCUUUCAGCGGGGACGAAGCGAAAGUGACGGUACCCGCAGAAGAAGGACCGGCCAACUACGUGCCAGCAGCCGCGGUAAUACGUAGGGUCCGAGCGUUGUCCGGAAUUAUUGGGCGUAAAGGGCUCGUAGGCGGUUUGUCGCGUCGUCCGUGAAAACCCACAGCUCAACUGUGGGCUUGCGGUCGAUACGGGCAGACUAGAGUGAUGUAGGGGAGACUGGAAUUCCUGGUGUAGCGGUGAAAUGCGCAGAUAUCAGAGGAACACCGAUGGCGAAAGCAGGUCUCUGGGCAUUAACUGACGCUGAGGAGCGAAAGCAUGGGGAGCGAACAGGAUUAGAUACCCUGGUAGUCCAUGCCGUAAACGUUGGGCACUAGUGUGGGGACAUUCCACGUUUUCCGCGCCGUAGCUACGCAUUAAGUGCCCCGCCUGGGGAGUACG
rnacentral:rRNA from 1 species